rnacentral:lncRNA from 1 species
GCUGAUUCCACAGGCACUGCCCCCUUGAGAGGCCCAGCAAAUUAAGAAAUUAUGGUUAGUUUCUGAGAUGAGACAUGUGAGAGCUAGUGGGUGGAGAAAAUGGCUUACAAGUGGAAGACCAGGAGGUCUUCUGAGCCUUCUGCCUGGAGUGAGGAACCUGAAUGAACUAUUGUUGGUGGGUAUAUAUCUAAGACCAAUUAUCACUGGGUCAAAAAGUAUACAGAGUUUAAUGAUUGUCAGCUAUGGUAGAGGCAUGGAGAGAGAGAGGACUUGUAAGCCAAGAUGCAAGAAACAAGCUGGGGAACCUAACCUGGCCUGUCAGUCAAGGAGAAGGAUUCAAAUGGAAUGUUACCAGGAGUUGGCAGUUGGGGUUUUCUGGCCACAGAGGAGGAAGAAAAAACUUGGCUUUGACUUCAUCUCUGUCUCUCUGGCAGUUGAAGCUGACCAGGGGAGAAACCUGGGACUUUGGUUUCUCUGAGAGACCUUGCCAAUUUUAAGCUGAGAGACCUUGCUAACUUUGUGAAGAAGAAAGAAGAGUUUAAACAGUGGUUGUCCUCCAUCUCUCUAACUGUCUUAGAGUCACAGUUUGUGACUGGACGACUUUCUCAAACCCUCAAUUCUCCCUCAUUUUAGAUUAGGGACAUCCUCAUCUCUCUUACCUCAGUUUCCUAUCCUAUUAUCCCAAUAAACCCCUUGACUUGAAAAAGGAAAAGAAAAGA